CCAAAGUGCCAAACCCCUCUCGAUCACCCACCCAUCCGAGCAAAACAACCACUCGAUCGGUGAGCCUGCGCUGCGCACGAUGGCGGCCGGCAACGCGACGGCGCUGAGGGCCCUGGUGGUGGUGACGCUGGUCUCCUUCCUCCUCAUCCAGGGAGUGGCCGGCGACUUCGUGUGCUGCUUCUGCUGACUGCUACAACGCCUGCAAGAACGACCCUAGCCGUCCCAAGGACAAGGUAGCCUGCCACUGGGAAUGCUUCAACAAACCCAGUUGCAGGUUCAGCUGCAAGAACCCCGGUCACUGCGGGCGGCACUCCUCCAAUGGUGACGGUGACGACGUGGGUGUGGCCAUCGCUUCCGGCGGAGGCAGUCUGGGCAUGGUGAAUGGCACUGGAGCUGGAGGAGCCGUCGUCGCUGCCGGCGGUGGCAAUCUGGGCAUGGUGAACGGCACUGGAGAGGGAGUUACUCCUUGAGAUCUGGAGGAGUCUGCAUGGAGAAUGGAGGCUGAGGAGGACGGACAUAAUCUGGUGGAGACGUAAAGGCUGAGAACAAUGCAUGCUUGUGAUGAGAUCUGUUCUCCAUUCUGGAAGGUGUGUGAUGGUUGUGACUUGUGACGAUUAUAUAUAGACUUGAUCACUUA